UUCCAUCACUAAGUUACUGGACAAAAACCCUUUUAGUUCAGGUCUUCUUAUCUCUUACUCUAAAUCUUUUGUUCUUGCUACUGUUUUUCCUUAGGAUAGGGCAAGAAGAGUAUAUUUAAUGUCAGGGAGAAAGAAAAAUGACGAAGUGGGUUAAUGGUUAUAUGGAUUAAAGAAUAUGGAUGACUUGUGCAAGAGGUCUAGAAAACUUUCCGGUAAUUAGAUUUCUGGGUUUUCUUUGGGAAUGGGCUUUGGAUCAAUUUAAGAGGAGUAGUUUCCGAGAUUUGAGAUUGAGAGAGAGAGAUGACGAAAAAAGAAAACAGGUUCCAUAUGCAGAGGUAGGGUGCAGCCGUGAAGGGCAUGGAUCAAUGAAAAAAUUGGCAAAGGCGAAUGAAAAGCGUGAAUCCAAAGCAAUGACACUGAUUUGAAGCAUGGUUACAUUGGUGUCUUCGAGUAUAUUGAUGAUCUCAAUGCUGGAAAAAUUGUGGUUGAGCUAAAUGGGAGGUUGAAUAAGUGUGGAGUUAUUAUUCCUCAUUUUGAUGUUGGUGUUAAGGAGAUUGAGGAGAGUAGACUGCUAGACUGCUCUCAUCAAGAUAGUUUGGUUAUAUUGUGUUAAGAACUUUUGCUGGCAUUAUAGAUCAUGAAGAAGCUAGAAGAAGGAAAGUGGGUGUCAAAGUGUUUGGGUUCUUUUACUAAGGCUGAUCUUUUUUAGGAAAUGAUGCUCCCCUUUUCUCUCGGUCAGUGAUGAGAGGUCUGCACAAGCAACCUAGCUUGCGCAGCCUCUGAGACAAAAAAGGCUACUCUACAUUUCUAUUUUCUUCAAUACUCACCCUUAAGGUGGAUUCGUAUAAGUUUAUCAAACCCAUCUUGCUGAGAAUCAAGUGAGGAUUCUGAUUGUCAAGAGCUUUUGUGAAUAUGUCUGCUAACUGAUCUUGACUCUUGAUAUAAGGUGUUUCAAUUUCUCCUUUCUGAACUUUUUCUCUGAUAAAAUGUCAGUCCACUUCAAUGUGCUUAAUUCGCUCGUGAAAUACUGGGUUUGAUGCUAUGUGACGGGCAGCUUGGUUAUCGCAAUGCAUUUUUAUAGGCUCUUUGUUCUCAAUUUUCAUGUCCUUGAGAACUUGCUUGAUCCAAAUGAGUUUGCUAGCCGUGGAUGCCAUUGCACGAUAUUCAGCUUCGGCACUUGAUCUGGCAACCAGACUUUGUUUUUUGCUUUUCCAUGUCACCAAGUUUCCUCCGACAAAGACACAUAAACCAAUAGUUGACUUCCUACCACAGCUUCCAGCCCAAUCUGCAUCAGAAAAACCAACUAUGUUAGUAGAAUUAUUUUUCUUCAUCUAGAUUCCUUGCCCGGGUGUUCAACUAAAGAGUAGUGAUUUCUUUUUCCACCUAAAAUUGUACUCAACACUGGCCGUGUUGGAUGCGUCAAACAUGAAAGAAAAAAAAAAGCUUUUAGGGAGCAUGGCCAGGAACACCAGCCCGUGUUGGGUACACGGCCAGGAACACUGCCGUGUUGGCUGGCGACAGGGGGAGUUAGUUAAAAGAAAAAAGAGAGGAAAGAAGGAGGCGGCUAGGGUUAGAACGUCCCAAACCCUAAUUUUUCUUUCCCUAAGGGUUUUCUGAGUUGAAACUAAGAGAAAAGGAGACUU